GCCGGUGACCCGCACGCCUCUGGGUUUUUUGGAUGCAACGAUUGGUCCCGAGUUGCCAUGCUCCGUCGUCUAUUGGUCAGAACAGCUAGCUGUCAUUUCUCCCCCCUCCCUCUAGACAUUUUAAAGGGCCAGUAACUAGAUUGCCCUUCCAAAGGGAAGGGGGUGAUCCUGAGCUGUUGGGGCAGGGUUGGGCGUGGAAAGAUGGUCCACCUUUGGGCUUCUGCCGGAAUUUCCCUAAGCUUAAGGGAUAGUGGGCUAGUAAAAGUGUAUACACAGACAAGAUUCUUUCAUGAAGUAGGUAGGGGUCAAGGCAAAUCCAGCUGCCUUGAACACUAACCAAUUGAUCAUGGGAGAGCACCCCACUCCCACCCCAUGAAUUAGAACUAUAUGCGAACAUCUUGGAUGUGUGCCUUCUCCCUUUCUCCGUUAUAAAAGUCACCCAAACCCAGCCACCCAGCUAAGACACACCUGAAUUACUCUUGUCAAUGGGAGCCACUUGGGCUUUGUCAUUCCUUGCCUGCUGGAAAGCUCUGGACUUUGGGCAGGCCUUACACUGAGCCCUGAGGCCACUGGCUGCCUGAGAUAAGGCAGAGCUGUGGGGCCUGCUUAUCUCUUGCCCAGCCUGGGAGCCACGGGGGAGUCUUUGUUAGUGUAGACGUUUCAGAGCUCAGGUUAGGAGGAGGAAGAUCUAGAUUCCAGCAUCCACUUUCUGCCUGUGCGUAGUGUGAGACUUUCAGCCAGUCAUUUGACCUCUCUUCAUCUUUGCUUCUGUGACUCUUGCUGGAAGUACCUGCCCUGUCUCACGCAGUAGGGUUGUUGUGAGGACAGUGUACGGAAAGGAUGGCUCAAGCCUUUAAAUGAUACUCCAGGCUGGUCUCAGAUUCCUGGGCUGGGCCGAUUCUCCCAGUUACCAACUUACUGAGUGUUGACACUACAGACGUGUGCCGCCGUGCCCUGUGUGUUUUAUUUUGCUUUUUAUUUGAUUACUGUUUCUUGUUACCGUGUCUGUGUUUGUGCCCAUGGACACAGGCCAUAAUGCAAGUGUACAGUGGAGAAUAACUUCUGGAUGUGUGUUCUCCUUCCACAAUAUCUGGGGGUAGAACUUAAUGUCAUCAGUGACCAAGAACCUGAGUGUCUGCUGCAGAAGAACCUGUAAGAUGAGGGACCCAGUGCAGGGAGGGUGGACGGUUUCUACAAUGGCUCCAGUCAGCAGAAAGAAAUAAGACCUUUGUGUCAGACUGCAGAACCCAGUUCUACCUGCUUGACACUAAACACCUUUAUCCAAGGCACCGUGACAGGAGGAAGAGGUGUGUCCCUUUGAGCUCUUGGCUCCAGCU